rnacentral:tRNA from 1 species
AUCCUUUUAGUAUAAUAAGUAUAAUUGACUUCCAAUCAAAAGGUUAACCCAUUUAAAAGGAUA